rnacentral:misc_RNA from 1 species
UUAGUUUUAGCCACUCCUGUUGAGCUGAUUCUUGUAGGAUUAUGCUGUUCGGGUGGUGGUGAUGGUACUGAUCCAUAUGCAGAAGUUUCGCUACAGCCUUUGCCAGAGUACACAGUCCCAUCUGAUGGGGUUACUAUGACUUGUAUUGCAUGUACUGAUAAGGGUCGCAUCUUCUUGGCUGGGCGCGAUGGCCAUAUUUAUGAGUUGCAUUACACAACUGGUUCUGGCUGGCAUAAAAGAUGUCGUAAGGUUUGCCUCACUGCAGGAUUGGGUAGUGUCAUCUCAAGGUGGGUUGUACCAAAUGUAUUUAAGUUUGGAGCCACUGAUCCCAUUGUUGAAAUGGUUUUUGAUAGUGAAAGACAGAUUCUGUAUGCAAGAACUGAAGAGAUGAAACUUCAGGUUUUCCUUCUAGGACCAAAUGGAGAUGGGCCAUUGAAGAAAGUUACAGAAGAAAGAAAUUUGUUCAGUCACAAGGAUGUACAUUAUGGAGGUAGACAGUCAGCAGGACCAAGAGCCCCUAACAGAUCUGUGAAGCCAUCUAUUGUUUGCAUCUCACCUUUAUCCACACUGGAAUCUAAGUGGUUGCACCUUGUUGCUGUUUUAUCAGAUGGCAGAAGGAUGUACAUUUCCACUUCUCCAUCUAGUGGCAGUAAUGGUACCGUUGGAGGUUUGGGUCGAUUCAAUAUUAAUCAUCAGAGACCAAACUGUUUAAAAGUUGUAACAACUAGGCCUUCUCCUCCUAUAGGGGUCAGCGGUGGACUCACUUUUGGAGCCAUAUCUCUUGCCAGUAGAACUCCAAAUGAGGAUCUCGCACUAAAGGUUGAAACAGCAUAUUAUUCUGCUGGAACUCUUGUCCUUUCUGAUUCCUCACCCCCAACCAUGUCUUCUCUAGUCAUUGUGAAUAGGGACUCAAGCUUGCAAUCAGGUGCUUUAGGUACUAGCGUGAGGAGUUCUCGAGCUUUACGAGAAAUUGUCUCCUCCCUACCUGUUGAAGGUCGAAUGCUUUUUGUGGCAGAUGUCCUGCCCUUACCAGAUACAGCUGCAACUGUGCAUUCACUGUAUUCAGAAAUUGAUUUUUUCGGAUUUGAAAGUUCAAGGGAGCCCUGUGAAAAGGCAUCUGGAAAACUUUGGGCUAAAGGUGACCUUUCCACCCAGCAUAUACUUCCGAGACGGAAAAUUGUUGUUUUUAGUACUAUGGGAAUGAUGGAAGUAGUUUUUAAUAGGCCUGUGGACAUUCUGAGAAGGCUGUUUGAGGCUAACUCACCUAGAUCAAUCUUGGAAGAUUUCUUCAAUCGUUAUGGAGCUGGUGAGGCAGCUGCAAUGUGCUUAUUGUUAGCUGCAAGGAUAGUUCAUUCUGAAACUCUUAUAAGUAAUGCUGUUGCUGAGAAGGCAGCAGAAACAUACGAGGAUCCAAGAGUUGUUGGAAUGCCACAACUUGAAGGUAUUAAUGCACUAUCAAACGCUAGAACAACAACCGGGGGUUUUAGCAUGGGGCAGGUUGUUCAGGAGGCAGAGCCUGUAUUUUCAGGUGCACAUGAAGGGCUUUGCCUGUGCACAUCAAGGUUACUUUUCCCUCUCUGGGAACUCCCUGUCUUUGUCGCCAGAGGUACAUCUGUUGUGACAUCUGAAAGUGGAGUAGUAACAUGCAGACUCUCUGUUGGGGCUCUUCAGGUUAUUGAAAAUAAGAUUCGUUCUUUAGAGAAGUUCUUAAGAUCCAGAAGAAAUCAGAGAAGGGGGCUUUAUGGCUGUGUAGCUGGUUUAGGGGAUGUGACCGGUUCUAUAUUGUAUGGAACUGGUUCAGACUUAGGUAAUGGUGACAGAAGUAUGGUGAGAAACUUAUUUGGCGCUUAUUCGCGGAAUGUUGAGUCUAGUGCUGGUGCUACAUCAAAUAAACGGCAACGAUUACCUUAUAGUCCUGCAGAAUUGGCUGCCAUGGAGGUCAGAGCAAUGGAGUGUAUAAGGCAAUUGCUUCUUAGAUCUGGUGAAGCAUUGUUUCUGCUACAGCUUCUUUCCCAGCAUCAUGUGGCACGGUUGGUUCAAGGGUUUGAUGCAAAUUUACUACAAGCACUAGUUCAAUUAACAUUCCAUCAACUAGUUUGUUCUGAGGAAGGUGAUCGUAUUGCUACAAUGCUAAUAUCUGCACUAAUGGAGUAUUAUACUGGUCCUGAUGGCAGAGGAACGGUAGAUGAUAUAAGUGGGAGAUUACGGGAGGGAUGUCCAAGCUAUUUCAAGGAGUCAGAUUACAAGUUUUUCUUGGCUGUGGAAUGUCUUGAAAGAGCUGCUGUAACUUCAGACCUUGUGGAGAAGGAGAAUCUUGCUAGAGAGGCCUUCAAUUUUUUAAGUAAAGUUCCAGAGUCUGCAGAUUUAAGAACUGUUUGCAAAAGGUUUGAGGAUUUAAGAUUUUAUGAAGCUGUGGUACGCUUGCCUCUGCAGAAGGCACAGGCUCUUGAUCCUGCUGGUGAUGCUUUUAAUGACCAAAUUGAUGAAGCAAUUAGAGAACAUGCAAUAGCUCAGCGUGAAAAGUGCUAUGAGAUAAUUACUAGUGCUUUACGUUCUCUUAGAGUUGAAUCUUUGCAAAUGGAGUUUGGAUCUCCAGUGAGGCCUGCUGCCAUGCGACCAGUGCUUGAUCAGGCUUCUCGAAAGAAAUAUAUCUGCCAAAUUGUUCAACUCAGUGUUCAAUCAUCUGACAGACUGUUUCAUGAGUAUCUGUACCGGACUAUGAUUGAUUUGGGCCUCGAAAAUGAGCUAUUGGAGUAUGGUGGUCCUGAUUUAGUGCCUUUCCUGCAAAAUGCUGGCCGUGAACCAUUGCGGGAGGUCCAAGCUGUUUCUGCUAUAUCUACAACUUCUUCCAUUAGUCAUUCAAAAGCACCCAUCACUUCUAAUCAAGCAAAAUACUUUGAUCUUUUGGCACGGUAUUAUGUCUUGAAGCGGCAGCAUAUGCUUGCAGCUCACAUUUUGCUAAGACUGGCUGAAAGGCGUUCAACUGAUGCAAGAGAUGUUCCCAGUCUUGAACAAAGGCGCCAAUAUCUAAGCAAUGCUGUUAUACAGGCAAAGAAUGCUAGUGAUAAUGGUGGUUUGGUAGGUUCCGCAAGGGGUGCAGGUGCCUUGGACAGUGGGUUGCUAGAUUUGCUUGAAGGGAAGCUUGUGGUUCUUCGGUUUCAAAUAAAAAUAAAAGAGGA